AAGGAGCCGAUCAGCAUGCCGCGUGGGUGAAGACGGCCUGCGGGUUGUAAAGCCCUUUAGGCGGGGAGGAACGACGGGACGCGAAUACCGUUUCGAAGUGACGUUACCCGCAGAAUAAGCACCGGCUAACUCCGUGCCAGCAGCCGCGGUAAUACGGAGGGUGCGAGCGUUAAUCGGAAUUACUGGGCGUAAAGCGUGCGUAGGCGGUGGGGUCAGUCAGCCGUGAAAGCCCUGGGCUUAACCUGGGAACGGCGGUUGAGACGGCCCGACUUGAGUGGGCUAGAGGAUCGUGGAAUUCCGGGUGUAGCGGUGAAAUGCGUAGAGAUCCGGAGGAACACCGAUGGCGAAGGCAGCGGUCUGGGGCCACACUGACGCUGAGGCACGACGGCGUGGGGAGCAAACAGGAUUAGAUACCCUGGUAGUCCACGCAGUAAACGAUGAGCACUAGACGCCGGGGGGGUGACUUUUCGGUGUCGUAGCUAACGCGCUAAGUGCUCCGCCUGGGGAGUACGGCCGCAAGGUUGAAAC
rnacentral:rRNA from 1 species